rnacentral:lncRNA from 1 species
AGAGUCCUUGUCUUUUUCCCAUUCUGCCCUCCAAAUGUGGAGAUUAUUGUUUUCUUUUUUAUUAUCGCAUUCCUGUCACUGCCAAUUGCAAAGAGGCCAGCCUCGGCGUCCCCCUCUCCACGGGCUCACGGCAGGACGGAGCCGCUGUCCCCUCGUGCCCGGGGGGGCCGACACGGUGCCCGCAGUCCCCGGUCGCCCACGCCGGAGCGGGCCAAGCAUGGCCACCGGCAUCGCUCCCGCAGCGCCUCGCCGCCGCCCCGCCACCGCGGCCAGAGCAAGGGACAGCCCCUGGCCCCCCGGGAGCUCCCGCCGGCCCCGCUCAGCCCCGCCGGCUACAGCAGUGACUCGGAGGGCUCGGCGGGCUCCCACCCAUACCACCCGCCUCUCGGCCCUGACAGGAACCAUGGCGCCCACGCCAAGAAGGUGAAGGAGAGGCACCACCGGGGCCGGCCCAACAGCAGCUCCGAGUCGUCGGCCAAGCACUCCCGGCACGCCUCGGAGCGCAGGAAGAGCCCGUCACCCAGCCCUGGCCAGCGCAGCAGCUACUGGAGCUCCAGCGGCUCCCUCUCCAAGUCCCGCUCCCACUCCCGGGAGAAGAGGGCAGGACGCAGCCGCUCCCGCUCGCCCUCGCCGAAAAAACCCGCCAGCAGAGAGAAGGACAAUGAGCCCCGAACACGGCACGGUGACCCCGAUCCCGCCCGCGCCCGGCGCCGCUCCAGGAGCUACUCCCCCAUCAGGAAGAGGAGACGUGACUCCCCCAGCUUCAUGGAGCCCAGGAGGAUCACAAGGUCCCUCCCGGAGAGCAUCGCCGCCAGCCUGGCUCCCAGGGUAACCUCUCCCCUUCCUCCUCCUCCUUCCUGUCAUCCUCCUCUUCCUCCUGGACCCCUCUGUGUCUCCUCACACCCUAGGAUGCCCCCGGCACCCAGCCACCUCCGGGCGGUGCCUGUGUCUCUCUUCAGUCCCACUAACACCGGGCUGGGAGAAGGGGGCAAGGAGUUGGCUCCUGCACCGGCUCCAGACGUCGCUGUCCUCCGUGUCCCCCCCAUCCCCACUGCCUCUGUGCUCCCCCCAUCCCUCCUCAUCCUCAGGCGCCGGCGGGCCGCAGCUCGUCUCCCGCUAAUCCUGAACGUCUCUUUUUCAGCAGCUUUCAAUCUUUGGUGUCUGGGAAACACAAAAGCCACAUUAACCUGCUCAGGUCACUGAGCAUCAAGCAUCAAGCCCGAUGUGUUAACAAGUGGCC